rnacentral:rRNA from 1 species
UGGUGGAGCGAUUUGUCUGGUUAAUUCCGAUAACGAACGAGACUCUAGCCUAUUAAAUAGUUCGCCAAUCACGUUACGUCGGCGUCAACUUCUUAGGGGGACAAGUGGCGUUUAGCCACGCGAGAUUGAGCAAUAACA